UACAGAGGUCUCAACCGUUGUUCGGAUUCAUUGGGCGUAAAGGGUGUGUAGGUGGCGCCGUAAGUCGGGUGUGAAAUUUCGGAGCCUUAACUCCGAAACUGCAUUCGAUGACUGCGGUGCGUUGAGGGACUGGAGAGGAGACUGGAAUUCAUGGUGUAGCAGUGAAAUGCGUAGAGAUCAUGAGGAAGCCGUGGCGAAGGCGGUCUCUGGACAGUUCCGUGACACUGG
rnacentral:rRNA from 1 species